UAACACGUGGGUAACCUGCCCAUCAGAAGGGGAUAACACUUGGAAACAGGUGCUAAUACCGUAUAACAAUCGAAAACGCAUGGUUUUGAUUUGAAAGGCGCUUUCGGGUGUCGCUGAUGGAUGGACCCGCGGUGCAUUAGCUAGUUGGUGAGGUAACGGCUCACCAAGGCCACGAUGCAUAGCCGACCUGAGAGGGUGAUCGGCCACAUUGGGACUGAGACACGGCCCAAACUCCUACGGGAGGCAGCAGUAGGGAAUCUUCGGCAAUGGACGAAAGUCUGACCGAGCAACGCCGCGUGAGUGAAGAAGGCUUUCGGGUCGUAAAACUCUGUUGUUGGAGAAGAAUGGUCGGCAGAGUAACUGUUGUCGGCGUGACGGUAUCCAACCAGAAAGCCACGGCUAACUACGUGCCAGCAGCCGCGGUAAUACGUAGGUGGCAAGCGUUAUCCGGAUUUAUUGGGCGUAAAGCGAGCGCAGGCGGUUUUUUAAGUCUGAUGUGAAAGCCCUCGGCUUAACCGAGGAAGUGCAUCGGAAACUGGAAAACUUGAGUGCAGAAGAGGACAGUGGAACUCCAUGUGUAGCGGUGAAAUGCGUAGAUAUAUGGAAGAACACCAGUGGCGAAGGCGGCUGUCUGGUCUG
rnacentral:rRNA from 1 species